rnacentral:rRNA from 1 species
UACGUAGGGACCGAGCGUUGUCCGGAUUCAUUGGGCGUAAAGAGCUCGUAGGCGGCUGUUCAAGUCGAACGUGAAAACUCGGAGCUCAACUCCGAGCCUGCGUUCGAUACUGGACGGCUAGAGUCUGGUAGGGGGAUCUGGAAUUCCUGGUGUAGCGGUGGAAUGCGCAGAUAUCAGGAGGAACACCUAUGGCGAAGGCAGCUCGCUGGGACGUUACUGACGCUGAGACGCGAAAGCGUGGGGAGCAAACAGG